UACAGAGGGUGCGAGCGUUGUCCGGAAUCAUUGGGCGUAAAGGGUGCGUAGGUGGCGUGGUAAGUCUGGUGUGAAAUCCCGGGGCUCAACCCCGGAACUGCACUGGAUACUGCCAUGCUUGAGUACUGGAGAGGAGAUUGGAAUUUACGGUGUAGCAGUGAAAUGCGUAGAUAUCGUAAGGAAGACCAGUGGCGAAGGCGAAUCUCUGGACAGUUACUGACACUGAGGCACGAAGGCCAGGGGAGCAAACGGG
rnacentral:rRNA from 1 species